AGUUUCGUUUUGACCGUCACAAGUCACGAGGGGUAAGUGGAGAAACGCAAACCCUUGGGAUAUUCUCGAUCCUCAUUUUCCUUUCACAAAACUUUGCCUUUGGUUUCCCUCUCUUUCGUUUUUCUCUUUUCUUUCGUGGAGUGAACCCUAGAUGGGGAAAAGGGGUAGAGUGAGUGGCGGCGUGAGAAGGGGAAUGGCUGCGAAGCAAACCCUUUUGGGAUUUUUUUUCAGGGUUUCGGGGUUGGGUUUCGGUGAGUGACUAAUUAGAGGUUUUAAAGGGUGAGUGGAAGGCACCGAGAGAUUGAGGGGUUGCGAGUCAGAGAAUGAACGCGGGUAUGGAGAGCUAGAAGAGGUGAAGUUCAAAUCGGGAGUGGCUGCGUUUGAGGAACCAAAACAGACGUUGAAAUAGCUAACAUUUAUGUGCAUGGCUGUUUAUGGAGUUGUUGACGCUGGAUCCAUUGCUUGAAUAUUUUGAGAUGCUUACAAUGAGCUCGAUGCAUAGCUAUGGCUAUGCGUAUUGGGAGAAAUGGAGUGUUUCUGCCUGUGUUUCACCCAUCUUAGCCUGUACCUCCCUAUUCUUUUUUAUUUUUCCAUAUGUGUCUCUGACAAAGAAUCUUUAAUUGCAUUUUUUUUAAUUGACCUAUUAAACAAACAAAACCCCACAUCACCCACCCCUUCCUCCUCUGUCUCUCUGAUUUGUUGCAUUUCAUAUUCUCAAUCACUACACCCCCUUUUCUCCUCUCUUCAUGGAGAAGCAUUCCUCGCAUCUUGCCUCCUCCCCUUCUCCCCUCCUCCCUUAUGUUUGUCUCGUAGUCUCACUUGGGCUUCAUUCUCAUAGACCUCUCCUCACUGUCGUUUGGUGGCUGUGGUGAUCGCCUUUCAAAAGUGGUGGUUCUUCUUCUAAUAGUUCACAUCAAGCCUUUUGUUUGCUUGGGCAUCCAGGUUGGUUCUUAUUUCCUUAAGCUCCGAUUAUUGUAUGAUAGAUUGUAUGAUGGAUGAUGGAUGGUUGAAGUGUGGUAGAAGGCUUGAUUUUUGUUUGUUUGUGCUGUUGAUGCAUUUCUAGUCUGGAUCUGUUACAAGGAUGAAGGUCGGAGGCCUUAACCGCACUUGGAAGUGUGCUUAAGGCCCCAUCGAUGUUGGAAGUGCGGUUGAAGAGCUUGCCAGCACUUAACCUUGCCGCACUUAAAAGUGCAGUUGAGAGUUUGUUGCACUUAAAAGUGCAGUUGAGAGUUUGUUGCACUUAAAAGUGCGGUUGAGAGUUUGUUGCACUUGGAAAUGCGGUUAAUGUUAGUCGCACUUGAUGGUAGCUGUACUUGAGAGUGCAGUUACAUCAUUUUUUAAUUUUUUUACUUUAUUAUAUUUAAUUAAAUUUUAAUUUGAUUUGUUUUAAAUUUUGAAUUUGUAUUGGUAGAUAUUAUAUAUUAUUUGGUAUUUAAUAUUUAUUUU